CCUACGGGUGGCAGCAGUGAGGAAUAUUGGUCAAUGGGCGCGAGCCUGAACCAGCCAAGCCGCGUGAAGGAUGAAUGUCCUAAGGGUUGUAAACUUCUUUUGUCAAGGAAUAAAGUGAGGCACGUGCGCCUGAUUGUACGUACUUUAUGAAUAAGGAUCGGCUAACUCCGUGCCAGCAGCCGCGGUAAUACGGAGGAUCCGAGCGUUAUCCGGAUUUAUUGGGUUUAAAGGGAGCGUAGGUGGGUUGGUAAGUCAGUAGGGAAAGUUUGUGGCUCAACCGUAGAAGUGCAAUUGAAACUGGCAGUCUUGAGUACAGGAGAGGUAGGCGGAAUUCGUAGUGUAGCGGUGAAAUGCUUAGAUAUUACGAAGAACUCCGAUUGCGAAGGCAGCUUACU
rnacentral:rRNA from 1 species